CGCGUGAAACGUUUUACGGGCAGGUUCAUUGUGGGAUUGAAGGUUCAGUAAUUCCGUGGUGAAGAUGAAGAGGAAUACAUUGGAUAUGAGGAAGAAGAAGAAUCAGGAGGUCGGAAAGAAAGAAAUCGCUGAGGACUGGUGCUUUGUUUGCAAAGAUGGUGGUUCCUUACGUGUUUGCGACUACAAAGGGUGUCUAAAAGCUUAUCAUCCUGAGUGUGUGUGUGGAGAAGGAGGACUCUUUUUUGGAUAGUAAAAGCAAAUGGACUUGUGGAUGGCAUUCUUGUUUCAAUUGCAAUAAGCCUUCAAAGUAUCAUUGCUUUUUCUGUCCAAGUGCUGUGUGCCAACAUUGUUCCAAUAUUCUUGAGUUUGCACGUGUUAGAGACACCAAAGGGUUCUGCCAUAACUGUCUGAAGCUUGCACUACUUGGAGAGGCAAACAAAACCGAAGACUCUGAUGAGGAAUUUGUAGAUUUCAGUAAUAGAGACACAUUUGAGUGCCUAUUCUUGGAAUACUGGCUUAUAAUUAAGGAGGAGGAGAAGUUGACAUCGGGUGAUCUUCAAUCUACAGAUAUUUUUCUCAAAAAUUGGAACAAAAGAAUUACUUCUGAGUCCGAGUCUGAGUCUAAAAGUUCAGAAAGCGAUACAAUGUCAAACUCCUCUACUGAAGAUGUUAUUGAAAUUGAAAAGCCCAAACAAGUCAAGAAGAGAUCCAAAGUUGAAUCGUCUACAAGCAAAACCAGAAUUGGCCAAACCAAAACAGAAGUUUGUUGCCUGGGGAUCGGAAGCUCUCAUACAAUUCCUUAAAUCUAUUGGUAAACAGACAAGCGAGAGAUUAUCACAGUAUGAGGCGGCCUCUAUCGUUGGCCGGUACAUCAGGGUGAACAACCUAUCUGAUCCGGUGCAGAAAAGGAGGAUUUUUUGUGAUGCGAGAUUAGAAUCUCUGUUUAAGAAGAAAACAUUUAACAGAAACAAACUAUGCGACUACCUUGAACCCCAUUUUAUUGAAAACAUUGAAGUAACCGAAGAUGAACUAUUGUCGAAUUAUUCGGAAGAAGAUGAUUGUGAACUGUUAGUGUCCACUAAAAAGAAAAGAACAUCUUGCAUAAAUAAGGAGAGGUUGCUGAAAUUGAGAAAGUGCAGGAGGCGCCAAAAAGCCGAUUUGCAUCCAUUGUCAAAGAAAACAUCAAAAUUGUCUUCCUGAUGAAGAGUCUAGUGAAACAAUUGUUGGAUAACCACCUGCCUGAGGAUUUUGAUUCCAAAGUAGUAGGCUGCUUUGUGA